UACGUAGGGUGCGAGCGUUGUCCGGAAUUAUUGGGCGUAAAGGGCUCGUAGGCGGUUUGUCGCGUCGGGAGUGAAAACUCAGGGCUUAACCCUGAGCCUGCUUCCGAUACGGGCAGACUAGAGGUAUGCAGGGGAGAACGGAAUUCCUGGUGUAGCGGUGAAAUGCGCAGAUAUCGAGAGGAACACCUGCGGCGAAGGCGGGUUGCUGGGCUGAUACUGACGCUGAGGCGCGAAAGCCAGGGGAGCGAACGGG
rnacentral:rRNA from 1 species